CGAUGAUGCCCAGCUUGCUGGGUGGAUUAGUGGCGAACGGGUGAGUAACACGUGAGUAACCUGCCCCUGACUCUGGGAUAAGCGUUGGAAACGACGUCUAAUACUGGAUAUGACUGCCGGCCGCAUGGUCUGGUGGUGGAAAGAUUUUUUGGUUGGGGAUGGACUCGCGGCCUAUCAGCUUGUUGGUGAGGUAAUGGCUCACCAAGGCGACGACGGGUAGCCGGCCUGAGAGGGUGACCGGCCACACUGGGACUGAGACACGGCCCAGACUCCUACGGGAGGCAGCAGUGGGGAAUAUUGCACAAUGGGCGAAAGCCUGAUGCAGCAACGCCGCGUGAGGGAUGACGGCCUUCGGGUUGUAAACCUCUUUUAGUAGGGAAGAAGCGUAAGUGACGGUACCUGCAGAAAAAGCACCGGCUAACUACGUGCCAGCAGCCGCGGUAAUACGUAGGGUGCAAGCGUUGUCCGGAAUUAUUGGGCGUAAAGAGCUCGUAGGCGGUUUGUCGCGUCUGCUGUGAAAUCCCGAGGCUCAACCUCGGGCUUGCAGUGGGUACGGGCAGACUAGAGUGCGGUAGGGGAGAUUGGAAUUCCUGGUGUAGCGGUGGAAUGCGCAGAUAUCAGGAGGAACACCGAUGGCGAAGGCAGAUCUCUGGGCCGUAACUGACGCUGAGGAGCGAAAGCGUGGGGAGCGAACAGGAUUAGAUACCCUGGUAGUCCACGCCGUAAACGUUGGGCGCUAGAUGUAGGGACCUUUCCACGGUUUCUGUGUCGUAGCUAACGCAUUAAGCGCCCCGCCUGGGGAGUACGGCCGCAAGGCUAAAACUCAAAGGAAUUGACGGGGGCCCGCACAAGCGGCGGAGCAUGCGGAUUAAUUCGAUGCAACGCGAAGAACCUUACCAAGGCUUGACAUACACCGGAAACGGCCAGAGAUGGUUGCCCCCUUGUGGUCGGUGUACAGGUGGUGCAUGGUUGUCGUCAGCUCGUGUCGUGAGAUGUUGGGUUAAGUCCCGCAACGAGCGCAACCCUCGUUCUAUGUUGCCAGCGCGUUAUGGCGGGGACUCAUAGGAGACUGCCGGGGUCAACUCGGAGGAAGGUGGGGAUGACGUCAAAUCAUCAUGCCCCUUAUGUCUUGGGCUUCACGCAUGCUACAAUGGCCGGUACAAAGGGCUGCGAUACCGUAAGGUGGAGCGAAUCCCAAAAAGCCGGUCUCAGUUCGGAUUGAGGUCUGCAACUCGACCUCAUGAAGUCGGAGUCGCUAGUAAUCGCAGAUCAGCAACGCUGCGGUGAAUACGUUCCCGGGCCUUGUACACACCGCCCGUCAAGUCAUGAAAGUCGGUAACACCCGAAGCCGGUGGCCUAA
rnacentral:rRNA from 1 species